UCAUUUCAAAAGCUUUUUCAUAUGAUUUUUUAGCUAUUUAAAUCAUUAUUUUUAUAUAUUAUUGUUGAUGAGAAUUAUUGUUUUAUUUUUUAUUAGAAUUGUUCUAUAUUUUAUUUCUUUCUUUAAAGUAAAAAAAACCAUGUUUUUUAAUGUUUAUUUUUUAUAAUAUUAUUACAAAAUUCAAUAAAUUUUUUUUUUUAUUUUUGAUAUUCUAAAUAUUUGGAGCAAUGGCCGAUGAGACAUCUUGUCUCGUGGCAUGCUUGGAACGCAGUCACAUCGCCUUUCCGGGGAGCAGUGGUGGAACGAUGGUGAUGAAGGCUGCUGGCGGUGGAGGGCGUGGUGGCAACACUCCAAAGAGCCCUCUGGUGACUGCACUGGUGGUGAAGACUCUGCUUGGCAUUUCAGAUAUGAGCUGUUAUGGACAUGAUGUUCCAAGAAAGUAUAUAUAUACUUCAGAAUCUCUCUUGAAUAUCUAGAGAAGCAUCAGCAGAUUUAGUCUUCCGGAUGCAAGUGCCAGAAUCCAUGAUGUGGUCCUUGAAUAAACAAGUGGAAGACAAUCGAACAUGCCAUGGCCUCUGAUGUUCUCCAGAAUGUGUGCUCUGUACACCUUUGAAUUCUGGCAAUGUGUGGAAAGCUCACUCACAGUCGAUACAAAGGGGUGGAAAGCUCAGGAUUUGGGAUCCAAACAAAGAGAGAACUCGUGAUGCACAUCACAGCAUACUCAAAAAGACUUUUUUUCUUUAGAAAGCUGAAAUAUCCAUCUGGAGCAUGCGUAUCUGAUGGAUAAGUUCAUCUGUAUAGAUCAGACUGCCAUGCAAUGAUUGUCACUAAAGAUCUGGAGGCACAAUUUACUAUUCAAGCAGGACCACCUUGCUGCGGAAGAACAAGGACAAAAAUGUUUGGGUUUGGAACCUUUGUUGUUUUCCCUGGAGUUACCGGGAUAAGCUUCCCCAUUUCAGAAAGACACUGCAUUUAAUUAGUAUGUGGCGCAGCAUCAUAAUAAGCCAUCACAAGCUGGGAUUCUGUGGUAUGAUGACUAUCUCGAUCACACUCAUCUGCACUCAUUAGAAUUGCUGAAUUAUUUACUUGGAAAAGCCAUGUCUUCUUCUUCUGCUGUGCCAUGGAAGGAAUCAUUAGAAUUUAUUUAGUUUGUAUUAUGGUGCCAGUUUAUUCGAUGUUGCAGGCCCUCAAAAUGAUCAUGAAAAUCCAGAAAACUAGUUGUCAUUUGUCGCUUGCAGAUUCAAAUUGUGAUGUGUAGGAGGAUCUCAAUCAAAGUUGACUCACAUGUGAUCGGACAUGAGGAUCCACAUCUUGCUAGGAGGAUCUUAUUGAGCUGCUGCUGCCCAUGUGAUCCAGCAGGAGUCGGAGAUCAUCUUGGACCGUUCUUAAGAUCCAGCAGGAGAUGUCCUUCGGAGCCAAACGGUUUCAUCCGAGUCGAGUUGGGAGUCCUGACAUGAUGUUGUCAUUCUCUUCCCAUAUAAUGGUAGGAGAAACCCAGCGGCACACUGCCAACUCCAGUCCACUCCCUUCGGAGGAGAGUAAGAUGGAGUCCGAGCCUCGGUCUCCACCGCCACCGGCAUCGAGUGUCGAUCUUUCCCUCACCUUGGCCUCGUCUUCCUCCCCGUCCUCCGCCGGACGCCGCGGCGCAAGGGACUCCAGGCUCUUCCCCUGUCUCUUCUGCAACAAGAAGUUCCUCAAGUCACAGGCACUCGGAGGCCACCAGAAUGCCCACAAGAAGGAGAGGAGCACCGGGUGGAACUCCUACCUUUACCUCCCUCCUGCGGCCGGCGGCCACCACCUCAAGCCAUAUCCAUUCUCCCUCGCCUCCCACUCUUGCAGACCCAUCACGAGCAGUUACCCCCUCGGCCAUCUCUCCGGCAGCUUCAGCUCCUACUGCACCGAUGCCGUCGAUCUCCUGAAUUGGCAAAGAGCUUCUCAUCCUCAACAGCCACACGCGCAGGAACUUCUUGGCUCUGCAGCCGCAGCAGCAACAGCCGCUGCUGGUACCACCACUACGGUUGGAGAAGACAGGACCAAACUCGAUCUCUCCUUAAGGCUCUGGUCUUAGGUUGCUUAUCUGCAGCUGCUGCUACUUUCCCUACUCCUACUGCUUUCUUGUUCAUUGUUUUGUUUGCGUCUUCCGGUUUGUUCUCUUACCUCUAGUGGCUCACUGCUGCAGCAGGGUGGCCAUGUAGGAGGAUGGGUUGGAAGGGAAGAAGAAGACUAUUAUUUGUGCA